rnacentral:rRNA from 1 species
AUUGAACGCUGGCGGCAGGCCUAACACAUGCAAGUCGAGCGGAGCGGCGGACGGGUGAGUAAUGCCUAGGAAUCUGCCUGGUAGGGGGGGAUAACGUCCGGAAACGGGCGCUAAUACCGCAUACUAUCAGAUGAGCCUAGGUCGGAUUGGCUAGUUGGUGGGGUAAAGGCCUACCAAGGCGAAGAACCGUAACUGGUCUGAGAGGAUGAUCAGUCACGCUGAAACUGAGACACGGUCCAGACUCCUACGGGGGUCAACGGUGGGGAGUAUUGGACAAUGGGCGAAAGCCUGAUCCAGCCAUGCCGCGUGUGUGAAGAAGGUCUUCGGAUUGUAGAGACCUUUAAGUUGGGAGGCGUUACCAACAGAAUAAGCACCGGCUAACUUCGUGCCAGCAGCCGCGGUAAUAC